rnacentral:rRNA from 1 species
GUGCCUAACACAUGCAAGUCGAACGAAGCAAUUAAAAUGAAGUUUUCGGAUGGAUUUUUAAUUGACUGAGUGGCGGACGGGUGAGUAACGCGUGGAUAACCUGCCUCACACUGGGGGAUAACAGUUAGAAAUGACUGCUAAUACCGCAUAAGCGCACAGUGCCGCAUGGUACGGUGUGAAAAACUCUGGUGGUGUGAGAUGGAUCCGCGUCUGAUUAGCCAGUUGGCGGGGUAACGGCCCACCAAAGCGACGAUCAGUAGCCGACCUGAGAGGGUGACCGGCCACAUUGGGACUGAGACACGGCCCAAACUCCUACGGGAGGCAGCAGUGGGGAAUAUUGCACAAUGGGCGAAAGCCUGAUGCAGCGACGCCGCGUGAGUGAAGAAGUAUUUCGGUAUGUAAAGCUCUAUCAGCAGGGAAGAAAAUGACGGUACCUGACUAAGAAGCCCCGGCUAACUACGUGCCAGCAGCCGCGGUAAUACGUAGGGGGCAAGCGUUAUCCGGAUUUACUGGGUGUAAAGGGAGCGUAGACGGCGAAGCAAGUCUGAAGUGAAAACCCAGGGCUCAACCCUGGGACUGCUUUGGAAACUGUUUUGCUAGAGUGUCGGAGAGGUAAGUGGAAUUCCUAGUGUAGCGGUGAAAUGCGUAGAUAUUGGGAGGAGCACCAGUGGCGAAGGCGGUUUUCCUGACGAUUAACUGACGUUGAGGCUGGAAAGCGUGGGAGGCCAAACAGGGUUAGAUACCCUGGUAGUCCACGCCGUAAACGGAGAAUGCUAGGGGUUGGGGGGCAAAGCCGUUCGGUGCCGUCGCAAACGCAGUAAGCAUUCCACCUGGGGAGUACGUUCGCAAGAAUGAAACUCAAAGGAAUUGACGGGGACCCGCACAAGCGGUGGAGCAUGUGGUUUAAUUCGAAGCAACGCGAAGAACCUUACCAAGUCUUGACAUCCUCUUGACCGGCGUGUAACGGCGCCUUCCCUUCGGGGCAAGAGAGACAGGUGGUGCAUGGUUGUCGUCAGCUCGUGUCGUGAGAUGUUGGGUUAAGUCCCGCAACGAGCGCAACCCUUAUCCUUAGUAGCCAGCAGGUAAAGCUGGGCACUCUAGGGAGACUGCCAGGGAUAACCUGGAGGAAGGUGGGGAUGACGUCAAAUCAUCAUGCCCCUUAUGAUUUGGGCUACACACGUGCUACAAUGGCGUAAACAAAGGGAAGCAAGACAGUGAUGUGGAGCAAAUCCCAAAAAUAACGUCCCAGUUCGGACUGUAGUCUGCAACCCGACUACACGAAGCUGGAAUCGCUAGUAAUCGCGAAUCAGAAUGUCGCGGUGAAUACGUUCCCGGGUCUUGUACACACCGCCCGUCACACCAUGGGAGUCAGCAACGCCCGAAGUCAGUGACCCAACUCGCAAGAGAGGGAGCUGCCGAAGGCGGGGCAGGUAACGG